rnacentral:rRNA from 1 species
GACAGAGGGUGCAAACGUUGCUCGGAAUUACUGGGCGUAAAGCGCGUGUAGGCGGGACGAUAAGUCAGGUGUGAAAUCCCUAGGCUCAACCUAGGAACUGCAUUUGAAACUGUCGGCCUUGAGUGAUGGAGAGGAUGGCGGAAUUCCUGGUGUAGAGGUGAAAUUCGUAGGUAUCAGGAGGAACACCGGUGGCGAAGGCGGCCAUCUGGAAAUCUACUGACGCUGAGACGCGAAAGCGUGGGGAGCAAACAGG